rnacentral:misc_RNA from 2 species
GUGGGAGCGGGCUUGCUCGCGAAUGCGGUGUGUCAGUCGACAUCGAUGUGUCUGAUACACCGCAUUCGCGAGCAAGCCCGCUCCCAC